AGGCCUUGAAUCCAUGAGUAUGACACUCAAACGUGGGAGCCCUGCAUAUAAAAGAGCAUCAGUCAACGGCAAAAACAAUUACAAAUGGCGAGCAGCAAGAACUUUAGUGAGGCCGAAGUUGGCGUCCUGCUAGCAGAGUACUCCGACUUUGCCACAAGGAAAAGUGCGUACGACUGCUCAGACCCAGAAGUGUCAAUCCCUGUGUCUCUCCAGCGUCUCUCCCGAGUGUCUUCAGCAUUCCAUUCUCCAAGUUCCCCUCUCCUGUGUGAACUCUGAGGUGUGUGCAACGUGUCUGUCCCCCUGGUCACCCCACCGACGGCCCUGGAUAUCCCCA